rnacentral:rRNA from 1 species
AUUGAACGCUGGCGGCAGGCUUAACACAUGCAAGUCGAGCGGGGGAAGGUAGCUUGCUACCGGACCUAGCGGCGGACGGGUGAGUAAUGCUUAGGAAUCUGCCUAUUAGUGGGGGACAACAUCUCGAAAGGGAUGCUAAUACCGCAUACGUCCUACGGGAGAAAGCAGGGGAUCUUCGGACCUUGCGCUAAUAGAUGAGCCUAAGUCGGAUUAGCUAGUUGGUGGGGUAAAGGCCUACCAAGGCGACGAUCUGUAGCGGGGCUGAGAGGAUGAUCCGCCACACUGGGACUGAGACGCGGCCCAGACUCCUACGGGAGGCAGCAGUGGGGAAUAUUGGACAAUGGGGGGAACCCUGAUCCAGCCAUGCCGCGUGUGUGAAGAAGGCCUUAUGGUUGUAAAGCACUUUAAGCGAGGAGGAGGCUACUCUAGUUAAUACCUAGGGAUAGUGGACGUUACUCGCAGAAUAAGCACCGGCUAACUCUGUGCCAGCAGCCGCCGUAA